rnacentral:rRNA from 1 species
CGGGGAAUUUUGCACAAUGGGGGAAAACCUGAUGCAGCGACGCCGCGUGAUUUAGAAGGCCUUCGGGUUGUAAAAAUCUUUUCUAUGGGAAGAAAAUGACAGUACCAUAGGAAUAAGGACCGGCUAAUUACGUGCCAGCAGCCGCGGUAAUACGUAAGGUCCGAGCGUUGUCUGGAAUCAUUGGGAGUAGAGGGUACGUAGGCGGGUAAGCAAGUUAGAAGUGAAAUCCUGUAGCUCAACUACAGUAAGCUUUUAAAACUGCUCAUGUUUAUAUAUGGGAGGGAAAGAGUAAUUCCUGGUGUAGCGGUGAAAUGCGCAGAUAGUAGGAGGAAUACCGGUGGCGAAGGCGACUUUCUGGCCAUAAUCUGACGCUGAGGUACGAAAGCGUGGGUAGCAAGCAGU